AUUGAACGCUGGCGGCAUGGCUAAACAUGCAAGUCGAACGCACCAGCAAUGGUGAGUGGCGAAAGGGUCAGUAAUACGAUCGAACGUGCCCCGAGGUGGAGGAUAGGCAUGGGAAACUGUGCGUAAUACUCCAUGUGAUCUACGGAGGAAGCCGCAAGGCGCCUUGGGAGCGGCGAUCGUCCUAUCAGGUAGUUGGUAAGGUAACGGCUCACCAAGCCUAAGACGGGUAGCAGGUGUGAGAGCACGACCUGCGACAUCGGGACUGAGACACGUGCCCGGACUCCUACGGGAGGCUGCAGUAACGAAUCUUCCGCAAUGGGCGAAAGCCUGAUCCAGCCAUGCCGCGUGAGUGAAGAAGG
rnacentral:rRNA from 1 species